GGCUUUGUGCACAAACCAUAGCUCAGCUGGGCAGUCGAAGCGUUUGAGAAGGAGAAUAAAGUACUAGGUCUUAUUGAAGCAGGAAGAUGGAUGAGGGCUUACAGGAUCUGUACUAGGGCUUCUUCUUCUUCUUCCUCAUUCUUUGCUCUCCUUCCGCAGCCGCCGUCGCCUUCAUCGUUUUCCGCGUUGCCUCUGAAGGUUCGUGAUUGGCUUAAACCUUGCUCCAUCGUCACUGUGAGCCUGUUGUCCCGUUCUAUUUCUUGUUCUUCUUCGUCGAGUUGUGAUAUUGCUAUGCCGGGACUCGAACCGGAGAUGUCGGCGCUGCAGUGGCCGGCCAGCAAGGCGAGGGACACGUUCAUCAGGUUCUUUGAAGGGAAGGGGCACGUGAAGUGGAACUCCAGCCCUGUUGUUCCUGUCAAUGAUCCCACUCUUCUAUUUGCCAAUGCUGGUAUGAACCAGUUCAAGCCAAUAUUUUUGGGGACUCCUGACCCUAACUCUCCCUUGAGUAAACUUACUCGUGCUUGCAACACUCAGAAAUGCAUUCGAGCUGGUGGGAAACACAAUGAUCUUGAUGAUGUGGGAAAAGACACCUAUCACCAUACCUUCUUUGAGAUGCUUGGGAACUGGUCGUUUGGUGAUUAUUUCAAACAAGAAGCCAUUGGAUGGGCGUGGGAACUUCUUACUGAGGUCUAUAAAUUACCUUCUGACCGACUUUAUGCUACAUACUUUGGUGGUGAUGAGAAAGCUGGCCUUGCUGCUGAUAAUGAAGCCAGAGACAUAUGGCUCAAUUUUCUGCCACCUGGGCGUGUACUUCCUUUUGGUUGUAAAGACAACUUUUGGGAGAUGGGUGAUACUGGUCCUUGUGGGCCUUGCACUGAAAUACAUUUUGAUAGAAUUGGUAAUCGUGAUGCUAGAUCAUUGGUGAAUCAUGAUGAUCCUACAUGCAUUGAAAUUUGGAACCUCGUUUUUAUUCAGUUUAAUCGGGAAAGUGAUGGUUCUCUGAAGCCUCUGCCUUCUAAACAUGUCGACACUGGAUUGGGUUUUGAAAGAUUGACUUCUAUUCUCCAGAACAAGAUGAGCAAUUAUGAUACUGAUGUGUUCUUACCCAUCUUUGAUGCCAUCCAACAGGCGACAGGGGCUAGGCCUUAUUCUGGAAAAGUUGGAUCCGAUGAUGUAGACAACGUUGACAUGGCAUACAGGGUUGUUGCUGACCACAUAAGAACUCUUUCAUUUGCCAUUGCUGAUGGCUCCUGUCCAGGAAACGAGGGUCGUGAAUAUGUUCUAAGGCGUAUUCUUCGUCGGGCUGUUCGUUAUGGGAGUGAAGUCUUAAAAGCUCAGGAAGGAUUUUUCAGUGGGCUUGUAAAGGACGUGGUUAAAGUGAUGGGGGAUGUUUUCCCAGAGCUGAAACAGCAUGAAGUGCAUAUCAGGGACAUAGUUGUUGCUGAGGAAGCAAGUUUUGGCAAGACAUUGCUUAAAGGAAUUGAGAAAUUUAAGAAGGCUGCACAGGAUGUUCAGGGAAAAAUAUUGAGUGGGCAGGAUGCCUUUGUUUUGUGGGACACAUACGGAUUUCCUUUAGAUUUGACUCAGUUGAUGGCAGAAGAAAGAGGCCUACUUGUUGAUGUUAAGGGAUUUAAUUCUGCUAUGGAUGAAGCAAGGGAGAGAUCAAGGAGUGCUCAGAAUAAGCAAGCUGGUGGUACUAUUGUCAUGGAUGCUGAUGCCACAUCAGCAUUACACAGGAAGGGGGUUGCAGCUACAAAUGAUCUCAGCAAGUUCACAUGGUUCCAGGAUCAUGAAAGUGUAAUAAGAGCUAUUUACACUGGAUCUGAGUUCUUGGAAACUGCUGCUGGUGUUGGUGAAGUUGGUAUUGUUUUGGAAACCACAAGUUUUUAUGCUGAGCAAGGUGGUCAGAUAUUUGAUACCGGAUUGCUUGAGGGCCCAUGCGGAUCUUUUCAAGUUUACAAUGUUCAAAUUUAUGGUGGAUACGCUCUUCAUAUUGGCUCAUUUAGUGGAGAGACUGGUAGAUUCUCCACGGGCAAUAAAGUAAUUUGUAAGGUUGACUAUGACAGGCGUAAGCUCAUUGCCCCUAACCAUACCUGCACACACAUGUUGAACUUUGCUCUAAGGGAAGUGCUUGGCAAUCAUGUUGACCAGAAGGGGUCCAUUGUCCUUCCUGAGAAAUUACGAUUUGAUUUUUCCCAUGGCAAGCCUGUGCAUCCUGAUCAGUUGAGAAAAAUAGAGUCAAUUGUGAAUGAGCAAAUCAAAGAUGAGUUGGAUGUAUUUUCAAAGGAGGUAUCCCUUGCCGAUGCCAAGAGUAUUAAUGGCUUGCGAGCUGUGUUUGGAGAAAUAUAUCCUGAUCCAGUUAGGGUUGUGGCAAUUGGUCAAAAAGUGGAGGAUCUCCUGGCUGAACCUGAAAAAGAAGAAUGGUUAUCAUUUUCAGCAGAACUUUGUGGAGGGACUCAUAUAGCAAAUACUCGGGAGGCUAAAUCAUUUGCUCUCUUAUCUGAGGAGGGCAUUGCCAAGGGGGUCAGAAGAAUAACUGCCGUUACAACUGAUUGUGCUUUUAAGGCAAUGGAAUUAGCAUGCUCAUUUGACAGUGAAGUAAAUGAUGCCUCCAAGAUGGAAGGAAGCUUGUUGGAAAAGAAAGUAGCUUCUUUAAGAAGUCGUGUGGACUCUGCGCCUAUUCCAGCAGCCAGGAAAGCUGAUCUUAGGGCUAAGAUUGCCGUCCUUCAGGAUCAAGUCAGGAAGGCACAAAAAAGGCUUGCAGAAGAAAAUAUACAGAAAGCUGUCAAAGUUGCAACUGAAACGGCAGAAGUUGCUGCUUCAGAUGGACAGAUCUUCUGCAUAUCCCGUGUUGAUGUUGGUUUGGAUACCACUGCAGUUCGUGAAGCCGUUCUGAAAGUAAUAGAGCAUAAGGGGCUGUCAGUCAUGGUUUUUAGUAAAGAUGAGACCACAAACAAGGCUGUGGUCUAUGCUGGAGUUCCAGAUAAAGGAGGUAAGUGCAAGCAGUUAGAGGUUUCAGAGUGGUUGACGGCUGCUUUGGGACCUCUGAAAGGCCGGUGUGGUAAAGGAAAAGGCGGUCUUGCUCAAGGCCAGGGGACAGAUGCAUCACACGUAGAGGAAGCUAUGGACGUGGCAACAAAAUUUGCAACAAUGAAAUUGAGAUGAGGAGAGAUGCCCGAGUCCAUGGUUCCAGGUGUGAUCUUCACGUUCAUUUUCAACCAGUGUUCAUUGAUUUGGAUGAUUUAAGGAUAUUCAGGAAGGGGGGGCGGGGUGGGGGAGGAAAUACUAAAAGUGGGAAUUGAUUCUUCUGUUACAGAAUCAAAUUAAUUUUUGCCCCUUUAAAGUGACAAAAAUAUUCUUUAUAAGUUAAAUAGCAGAGUUUAAUAUUUGCUUGAUUAACUUCGUUGUGAACAGUUUUCACUUGCUCUGUAUGUUUAAUUUGAUUAAGAAAAAGUAGGGACAAUGAAGCAGAGCCACGCCAUUAAGCUGAGCAUGUCUGUCAGAAUCCAUUACUUGGUGUGAUUUCAUUGGGAGGGGACAGGAGGGCUAAGCUGGUGCUUCCGGGACUACCUAAUUUUUCCUCCUGCAGUCCAGGUUGAGCCAGCCCAUCGCCUUUGCCCAAAUCUACUGAAGAUGCUCUAGACCUGCCCACUGCCCCUCUGGAACUAUCCACCGCUUCCCCGCCAACCACCUUCUUUAGAGGAAAGGAAGAAAUGAGAACGAAUUCAAUGCAGUGGGGUAUUUUAAUUCAAAUCAACUCAAUUUGGAAAUUUUAAAGUACGAUAUUAUUUAAAUGGAAAAUAACAUUAAAUUUGAUAAUGUUUAUUUGGAUAAAACCAAGUAUAUGUACAUAAUUACUAAUAUACCAAAAAAAAUAAAACAAUAGAAUAACAAGAAAUUUAUUCAGCUUGAUUAGAGUUGUGAGUUUGUAUUCAUUUGUAAAGAUGCUGAGUGUAGCUGGAACUUGAAUAAGAUGGUCAGGUAUCUCGACUCAACUUGGUACUUGAAUUUGAGUAGUUUUCCAAUUUGCUU